GGAGGAGGAGCAGGGGUACGACUACGAGGAGAGCCGCUGCUCGGGCCCUGUCUGUGGACACUACACUCAGCUCGCCUGGGCAGGAACGCAGUAUGUGGGCUGCGGAUAUGUGAAUGGCUCUCAGUGCCCUGGAAGGUUUACCUAUGUGGUCUGUAAUUACGCACCCAGUGGGAACAGUGGACUGGAGCCCUGGGUGCCUUACCUGAGAGGACCGCCCUGCUCAAGGUGUGACUCAGGCCAGGGCUGGUGUGAAGAUGGGCUGUGCAUUGUCUGUCCCCGUGGAGACUGUGGCUGUCCCCUGCAGUGCAAGAACUGCGGGGUUCUCAACGAGGAGCUCUGCAGCUGCUCCUGUGCAGAGGGCUGGGACUACGCUGACUGCUCAGGUGAAUGCAGUACCUGCACUGAUCUGGACUAUCAAUCAGACGGGCAGGUUCCUGGAGUUCAGCUCCAGGAGAAAAGUUAGCUCCACUCUCUUUAAGCAUAGGCUUCCUGGGAUAGGCUCCGUCUCCCCUGCAACCCUGAGUUGGAUAAAGUGAGUAGACAACGGUUGGAUGGAAUUCUAGACAUGGCCAGUUUAAUAUUAAAAACUAAAAAAUGUUUCAGCAACUAAACCGACCUGAGUUAUGGCACUUACCUGAGUGCGAGUUUCCCAGUCACUCUU